GGUUGACCUCGGACAGGGA
rnacentral:rRNA from 1 species